AUUGAACGCUGGCGGCAUGCUUUACACAUGCAAGUCGGACGGCAGCGGGGUAGUGCUUGCACUACUGCCGGCGAGUGGCGAACGGGUGAGUAAUAUAUUGGAACGUACCGAGUAAUGGGGGAUAACCAAUCGAAAGAUUGGCUAAUACCGCAUACGCUCUGAGGAGGAAAGCAGGGGACCUUCGGGCCUUGCGUUAUUCGAGCGGCCAAUAUCUGAUUAGCUAGUUGGUGGGGUAAGGGCCUACCAAGGCGACGAUCAGUAGCGGGUCUGAGAGGAUGAUCCGCCACACUGGGACUGAGACACGGCCCAGACUCCUACGGGAGGCAGCAGUGGGGAAUGUUGGACAAAGGGCGCAAGCCUGAUCCAGCCAUGCCGCGUGUCUGAAGAAGGCCUUCGGGUCGUAAAGGACUUUUGUUAGGGAAGAAAAAGGAGCGGUUAAUACCCGUUUCUGCUGACGGUACCUAAAGAAUAAGCACCGGCUAACUACGUG
rnacentral:rRNA from 1 species